CAAGAAGUAGCUUACAAAACAGCAUCCAACUUACAAUUGGAAGACGUCCUACCAGACCUUCCUGAG
rnacentral:tRNA from 1 species